AAAAAAAAAAAGUAACAAUGAAACCCUAACUCCAACGGGAAACCCAAAAUUAGAAAUCCCCAAAUCGAGAGGUAAAAGAAGGUUCGAUUUUGACUUCUUCGCUGUAUCGUUCGCAAAUGCAGUGUGUAGAGAGUUAGUUUCUCACUUGAAUUCGAAUGUCAAGUGAUCGGCGAGAGAUGACGGUGGUCGGUGACGGAACUGUUGGAGGUGGAGUUACUCCUCCGGUGAAAGCUGCGGCGGAGGUGACGGUGAUGCCUGAUCUGAGGCUGAGGCCGAACCCUAACAACGAGCACAGACCGGAUAACUACGACGAUCUGCAGCUUGAGUUUAGCCCUUGCAUUUUCAGCUCCCUGGAGAGGUACUUGCCGCUGAAUAUGCUAAGCUCGAACAGAGACGACAAGGCGAAAUUCAUGUCGGGAAUUAUACUCAAGUACCUUCCUCGUGAAGAGCGUGCCAGAGCUAAAAGGCACAUGGAAUAUAAGCAGAAGAUAAUAUCCAAUUACCAGCCACUUCACAAGGAGUUGUAUACUCUUGACCCCACGUUCUUUUUCGUUCCCUCUUUCCUGAAGGCGAUCAACGAAGAAAGAUUAAGAGACAAAAAGAUUGAAAAAAAGGCGACAAGCUUAAAAAGCAUAAUUUCUGAGCCGUCUCCGGGUGUUUUAGUCUUUGAUAUGCUUCAGCCCAAGUUCUGUGAGAUGAUGCUAUCGGAGGUAGAAAAUUUCAGAAAGUGGGUUAAAGAGAUAAAGUUUCGGAUCGUAAGACCAAACACCAUGAGUAACUACGGUGCUGUGCUUGACGACUUUGGCCUGGAUAGCAUGCUUGAAAGCAUCAGGGAGGAUUUUAUCCGUCCUAUUUCCGAAGAAUUAUUCCCUGAUGUGUGUGGAUCAACUCUAGACUCUCACCAUGGGUUUGUUGUUGAAUAUGGUAAAGAUAGGGAUGCUGACUUAGGCUUUCAUGUGGAUGAUUCAGAAGUAACAUUGAAUGUUUGUUUGGGUAAAGAAUUUGUGGGAGGGGAAUUAUAUUUCAGAGGCACACGAUGCGAGAAACAUGUGAAUACAGACACAAAGUCAGAGACUACUAUUUCUUCAUCAAAGCAGGAGACAUUUGAUUACUGUCAUAAACCGGGUCAAGCUGUACUUCACCGUGGCCGCCACCGCCAUGGUGCCAGAGCCACGACAUCUGGUCAUCGUGUCAAUAUGAUUCUUUGGUGCAGAAGCUCUGCGUUUAGAGAGAUAAAAACCUAUCAGAAGGAAUUCCCGGACUGGUGUGGUCAAUGCCUCCGAGAAAAGAAAGAAAGGCAAAGACAGACUCUUGCUGCCAGAAAAAAGGAGUUGAUUAGAUUAGAGAGAGAAGCCGAAGAAGUUUGAUGAAACACAACCCUAUAGCUUACAAUUGGUAAUCAAUCAGUCAAGCCCUGCAAUAUAUUGCUUUGCCGUUUGACCUUUGUACUUGAAAAAGUGAGUGUAUGUAGAAAAAUCAUUCAAGGAAACGAUGGUGUGAUCUUUUUCUCUGUGUGUGUGUGUGUUAUAUCCAAAUAGGUAUCACUGAUUGAAGCCACAGACUGACACAGUGACACUAAUUUUGAUUUUCAAAAGCUAUUGGGUUAUCUUUCAUGCUCAGAGUCUCUUAGCUCUGUA